rnacentral:rRNA from 1 species
GGCCGUGGCGGCGUGCUUACCAUGCAGUCGAGCGGUAAGGCCUUUCGGGGUACACGAGCGGCGAACGGGUGAGUAACACGUGGGUGAUCUGCCCUGCACUUCGGGAUAAGCCUGGGAAACUGGGUCUAAUACCGGAUAUGACCUCCUAUCGCAUGGUGGGUGGUGGAAAGAUUUAUCGGUGCAGGAUGGGCCCGCGGCCUAUCAGCUUGUUGGUGGGGUAAUGGCCUACCAAGGCGACGACGGGUAGCCGACCUGAGAGGGUGACCGGCCACACUGGGACUGAGACACGGCCCAGACUCCUACGGGAGGCAGCAGUGGGGAAUAUUGCACAAUGGGCGAAAGCCUGAUGCAGCGACGCCGCGUGAGGGAUGACGGCCUUCGGGUUGUAAACCUCUUUCAGCAGGGACGAAGCGCAAGUGACGGUACCUGCAGAAGAAGCACCGGCUAACUACGUGCCAGCAGCCGCGGUAAUACGUAGGGUGCAAGCGUUGUCCGGAAUUACUGGGCGUAAAGAGUUCGUAGGCGGUUUGUCGCGUCGUUUGUGAAAACCAGCAGCUCAACUGCUGGCUUGCAGGCGAUACGGGCAGACUUGAGUACUGCAGGGGAGACUGGAAUUCCUGGUGUAGCGGUGAAAUGCGCAGAUAUCAGGAGGAACACCGGUGGCGAAGGCGGGUCUCUGGGCAGUAACUGACGCUGAGGAACGAAAGCGUGGGUAGCGAACAGGAUUAGAUACCCUGGUAGUCCACGCCGUAAACGGUGGGCGCUAAGGUGUGGGUUCCUUCCACGGAAUCCGUGCCGUAGCUAACGCAUUAAGCGCCCCGCCUGGGGAGUACGGCCGCAAGGCUAAAACUCAAAGGAAAUUGACGGGGGCCCGCACAAGCGGCGGAGCAUGUGGAUUAAUUCGAUGCAACGCGAAGAACCUUACCUGGGGUUGACAUAUACCGGAAAG